AGGGAUUGCCUCAGUAACGGCGAGUGAAGCGGCAAGAGCUCAAAUUUGAAAGCUGGCUCCUUCGGGGUCCGCAUUGUAAUUUGCAGAGGAUGCUUCGGGAGUGGCCCCCAUCUAAGUGCCCUGGAACGGGCCGUCAUAGAGGGUGAGAAUCCCGUCUGGGAUGGGGUGUCCACGCCCGUGUGAAGCUCCUUCGACGAGUCGAGUUGUUUGGGAAUGCAGCUCUAAAUGGGUGGUAAAUUUCAUCUAAAGCUAAAUACUGGCCGGAGACCGAUAGCGCACAAGUAGAGUGAUCGAAAGAUGAAAAGCACUUUGAAAAGAGAGUUAAACAGCACGUGAAAUUGUUGAAAGGGAAGCGCUUGCGACCAGACUCGCCCACGGGGUUCAGCCGGCAUUCGUGCCGGUGUACUUCCCCGCGGGCGGGCCAGCGUCGGUUUGGGCGGCCGGUCAAAGGCCCUCGGAAUGUAACGCCCCCCGGGGCGUCUUAUAGCCGAGGGUGCCAUGCGGCCAGCCCGGACCGAGGAACGCGCUUCGGCUCGGACGCUGGCAUAAUGGUCGUAAGCGACCCGUCUUGAAACACGGACCAAGGAGUCUAACAUCUACGCGAGUGUUCGGGUGUCAAACCCGUGCGCGCAGUGAAAGCGAACGGAGGUGGGAACCCCUCGGGGUGCACCAUCGACCGAUCCUGAUGUCUUCGGAUGGAUUUGAGUAAGAGCGUAGCUGUUGGGACCCGAAAGAUGGUGAACUAUGCCUGAAUAGGGCGAAGCCAGAGGAAACUCUUGGUGGAGGCUCGCAGCGGUUCUGACGUGCAAAUCGAUCGUCGAAUUUGGGUAUAGGGGGCGAAAGACUAAUCGAACCAUCUAGUAACUGGUU
rnacentral:rRNA from 1 species